UACGUAGGGUGCGAGCGUUGUUCGGAGUUACUGGGCGUAAAGAGUGCGUAGGCGGUUUUCUAAGUUUGGUGUGAAAUCUCCCGGCUUAACUGGGAGGGUGCGCCGAAAACUGGAAGGCUUGAGUAUGGGAGAGGUAAGCGGAAUUCCUGGUGUAGCGGUGAAAUGCGCAGAUAUCAGGAGGAACACCGAUGGCGAAGGCAGGUCUCUGGGCAUUAACUGACGCUGAGGAGCGAAAGCAUGGGGAGCGAACAGG
rnacentral:rRNA from 1 species